AUUCCAAUAUACUUUCUUGCCCUUGUUUCAUAAACAAUCAUGAGCCUUUAUGUUGAUCCAUUUAGUUACCUCAACACCAACCUUUGCAAGAGCCUUCUCAGUGCAGAAGACUUUUGGAGUAAGCUGGGUCUGUUCUGUACUGAUUUUAUAAGUGGGAAAGAAAGUUCUCAGAAGGAAGGCUACUUUGAUUCUGCUGGCAUAGGAGGGACAGGUAUCUGAGGUCAAGCCCUCUUGCUAGGUAUUUUUUAUAUUUAAAGAGCUGUUUCCUGAUGAUGUAUUUACAGUGAAGAUGUCAAGUAGUUAAGAUGACUUGAUGGGAAUUUGCAACUUCUGGGACGGUGACAGUUUCCUACAGAUGAGGGUCUGAGCCAUUCUUGCCAUGGUUGUUAGAUCCUUUUCUCAACUGGGUUUCCAAUGCUUUGAUCUUACUGGAGGUCAGAUUGGAAAGCAUGGUGCUAUCCUUUCCCCUGCCAACAAGGUAUUCAUCAGCAUUGCACGCUGGUGCUUCUUGACAUGGGAACGUAAGAAGAUGGAUGGAGAAGUUCAUGAUGACUCCCAGAGGUGGAGGCCCAUGGCCAUUUGAGAAAUUCUAGAGUGGACACUCAUGCAGACUCCUUGGGUACCGGUCGAAUGGACUGGUGCUCCAGAGUGAGCCUGGGUGACAGAAGACCUUGCAGAAGGAUGAAGAGGCACAGACUAGAACUGCAAGGUUGUAGCUGGUUCUGCCCUGAUUCCUGCAGGUGCCAACCCUGAGGACAUAAUUUGUUCCAACUAUACUAUUACAAUCAUUAAGUUGAUGGUAUCUGGGAAGCAGGCUAGAGUCUAACUCAUUUUCUGUUGUGGUGUGAACUUGGCAAUUCUGGUGACAGUGGCCUUGAGUGUGUUGCCCUUGUUAUCCACUGUGCGAGCAUUUUGAACUUUAACUCUAUCCCUGGGGUGGUUGGAUACUAGACUUUGGUACUAGAAAACCUGCUUGGUGUUCCUGGUGGCUCAGAUCCUCGUGUGCCUGAAUUCUGAGCUUAGUGCUCCUUUCCUGUGGCUUGGGAUGGUGAUAAUUUCAUGCACACCUAAACUCGGAAUUUCUCAGAGCCAUCUGGUCACCAGCCAAGAAUUUUGUGCAUUUGGGUGCAGUGGCCAAAAUGUCAGUCAGGGAAAAUAAAGAAAAUAUCUUCUUUAAUAACAUGUCUCUGGGAAUCAGCCAAGUCUAAGCCUAUCAGAGGUCCUUCAGCCCAACCCCACAUGUGAGGCUGGGCUGCUGUCACCCAUCUCAGAUGGAGAGUCCUUUAAACACUGUCAGGAGGCAAGAUUCCACAGGCUCCCUCCAUCAGCUCUCCUGAGCCAAGAAAGAGAAGAGCUUGUUUAAGUUUGGAAGACUUCCAUUGAUAUGUCAUUGAAGGGGUGUUGUCACAUAUCGUGGGGUGCAGACCCUGCCAGCUUCCAUGCUGGGCUCAGGAAAGAGGUUUGGGCUUGUGGCCUGUAUGCCCCAGAGAGAAAAUACCCUGAUGUGGAGGUGAGUGUGGUGAUGGGUUAGAAGUACAGAUGCCUCGGUCAGCACUUACCUUCCCUUUUUGUUUUUUAAAUUUUUUUAAGCUUUUGUCCUUAUGUAUUUCUCAGAAAUAAAAUGCUCUUUAGAUGGAUUUGGAUUGUGUCGUUUUUUACAGUCUACUACGAGGAAGUCUUUUGUUCCAUAGAUCCUGGUGUUCUCCAUUUCCAUGUGAGGAGAUGAAAAAGAAUGAAAUUCCCCAAUGCGUACCCUCUUUCCCUAAUGUCCUAUACCAUCUCAAUGUUCUUUGGCUUUAAUUAUGAUUCUUCUUAGCUUUGGGGAAGACAGCAUUGGGAGUCUCAUCUGCUUCCAGUUUCUUUUAUGAACUUGCAAAUAAUCUAUGAAAAGAUGUAACUUUAGUCCUGUCCUCACCUUUCUUAGCAAAAAUGCCAGUAAGGUUACAAACAAGGCUAUUCGCAUUCUGCUUGAGGACUAUCUUAGCCUCAUCCCAGUUUAGCCUUUCUUCUGUGUUGCUAACUUGUGUGGUUUGGCAUAGCAAGGCUUUGUUUAUAAGAAGAACUUCUGGUUAUUUACGUAGACACUUUUCAUUU